ensembl:lncRNA
GUGGAGGGUGCCAUCCAGUUCUCAGUUACCAGCUGCGGAUCCCGGCCUCCCCGCUGUACCCACCGAGAAGUUGUGGAGCCUGGGGGAGAGACUACAGGUCAUCCUUCCGAGGCCGGCGGGGAAAGGCGUCACCCCAACAACCGAGAUGCGGAGGCGAAACGAGGCAGAGGUUCAGUCCCGGCAGCUGCAGCCGCCACGAACCAGCCCGGACCCCAGGCUCGCCCUUCUGCAGCGCCCGCGGGAGGCGGGGAUAUAGCAUCACAGCCUUAGAUGAAGGGUUGGACUCAGAGCUCGGUUCGCUGACGAAAAAAACAAUCCUUAUUGAAUGUGCCUGAGUUGCAUGGAAUUAAAAGACGCUUACUACUUGGAAGGAAAGUUAUGACCAACAUAGAGAGCGUAUUAAAAAGCAGAGACAUUACUUUGCCAACAAAGGUCCGUCUAGUCAAGGCUAUGGUUUUUCCAGUAGUCGUGUAUGGGUAUGCGAGUUGGACUACAAAGAAAGCUGAGCGCCGAAGAAUUGAUGCUUUUGAACUGUGGUGUUGGAGAAGACUCUUGAGAGUCCCUUGGACUGCAAGGAGAUCCAACCAGUCCAUCCUAAAGGAAAUCAGUCCUGGGUGUUCAUUGGAAGGACUGAUGUUGAAGCUGAAACUCCAAUACUUUGGCCACCAGAUGCGAAGGGCUGACUCAUAUGAAAAGACCCUGAUGCUAGGAAGGAUUGAAGGUGGUAGGAGAAGGGAACAACAGAGGAUGAGAUGGUUGGAUGGCAUCACUGACUCAAUGGACAUGAGUUUGGGUGAACUCCAGGAGUUGGUGAUGGACAGGGGGGUCUGGUGUGCUGCAGUCCAUGGAGUCGCAAAGAGUCGGACACCACAGAGCGACUGACUGAACUGAACCAAACUGAGUUCCUACAUGUGGCAUCAUUCAGUCCUCACAAAGAAGAAAUUUACUGUCCACUUGUAUGAAGUGAGAAAACCAGCUCGGUUGGAGAGAGUUUUUUACCUGUAAAGCAAGGGCAAUAAGAACACA